GGGCGUUCUAAACGGCCGCCAUCUGCGCACGCUCGCGCGUCGUGGGUCCACGAGGCCGCCGCCGACUGCGUCUCUUCCUCUUGCUGGCGGCAGAGCCUCGGGGGCUGAGGAUGCCUGUGGACCUGGGUCGGCUUGGAAUUAGCCGGCGGGGGCUCGUCGUUCCGCCUCCCUUCGCAGCGGGGGGUGGGGACCGGGGCCCUUCUGCUGGUGGAAAUCCAAUCAUUCUUGCCGCGGGGAGUCCGGGGGAUGCCCCAGCCGCCAAAGUAAUCGCCCCCUCGGGGCGCCCAAAGAUGGACCCCUGGUUUAAGACCCAGGCUUUAAGAACUCUAACGAUUUGAAGAAUAAAGCAACAGAAGAGCUCCAAGACUAAUCAACAGUGCAGAGGACAACAGGUGAUAUUUCUUUGAAGUCCAGUGAAGCCUAUGAACACUUCAGAAUGCUAUAAAUGCAUAGAAGAAAAUAAAAUGGGUUUGUAAAGAAAACCAUUUGGAAAUACAUUUAUCAAUUUAAAAAAGUAAAGUUCUUGGGCCCAAUUUUAAGAAUCCCUGUCUUAAAGCCCGAUAUAAUUGGGAACCUCAUUUUCUUAAAAAGGUUGCCCAUUCCCUGCCUUUUACUUUGAAAAGAAGCAUAACAAGGAUUUUGGCCUCUUUUCAUGACUUCACAACUCAAGUUACUAUCAAAAGGAGUAAGCAAUUUAAACUAUAGUGAAAUAGUUACAGAAUCCAUUUUUAACCUCAUUUGAAUACACAGGUACCUUAAGAGUAUUUGAAUGUUUGGAAGUACAUUUUUUCAAACUCAAUGAUUAUAUCAGAAUGAAUUCAGGACUAUAAUACUGUGGCAGUACCUGAAUCUCAGAAGCAUCUGUUCCAAUUACCUUUCCACCUCGCUGCCCUCUGGACUCUCAUCAUCCAGCUACACUGGUCCAUUGGCUGUCCCUCCACUGCCUGCCUGCCUUCUCCAAAUCUGAAAUCCUCUCCUUUCCCCGUCCCUUCUCCAAGAUCUUUUAUAUGAAUAUAGUUUGAUGCACGUUGCCUCUUAGAAUGUGAGCUCAGAGAGAGUGUGUGUGAGUGUGUUCAUUCACACACACCUUUGUAUCCUCAACACCACUUGGCCCGGCACAGAAUGCUUAAUGUGUAUGACAUUUUGUUGACUGAAAAGUCAUACAUUAUUAUAUAAAGUUUCUCUCAUUUCAAGGAGUCAUAUAACCUGCCUCCUUAUAAUUUAAGGACACUUGUAUAGAGGAAAGCACAUGGCCCACCUUUCAUUUAUACUAUGUAUGACCCCAAGUCACUUAACAUCCCAGAGAUUCUAUUUCCUUACCUGGAAAAUUGAGGGGGCUGGACUCGAUGGCCUUCGAGGUCCUGAUUCUAGAUCUAUGACCCUAAUGCUUUCUGAAGCAAUGGAAACAUACAUGGACAAGCCUUUAAACAUCUGAAGAUAGCCAUUGUCUCCCUUAGUCAAGAAAACCCGAGUUCUAUACACUUUCUGUGGGGCUUUGGGCAAGUCAUUUGGCUCCAGCUGCCUCAAAUUUCUUCAUCUGGAUUGUGUGGACCAAAGCAGUUAAGUAUAAUGCCUGAUACAUAGUAAGCAAUUUAUAAAUGUUAUCUAUUAGACUCAACAAUUCCAGUCCCUGCAAAUGGCUGUAAAGUAUUUAAUAUUUCCUAAAACUAUCACUAUUGCGGUCAUCCUCUGGUUGCUUCAUCAAAAUCUGACACGUUGCCAAUAUUUCCUCACCAGGAUUACAGUAGGAUCAUUCAAUCCUGGAAUCUAAAGAAUGUAGAAUCAGAACUUGAGGUAAAAGAGUCUACUGAAGUAUCAAAAUGGAACAAGUCAAUGCUUAUCCAGAGUGACUAGGGAAAUGGAAUACCUGAAAUCAAGAGGGAUCCGAGAAAUUGAAAAUAAAUUAAACCACUUUUCAGGAUGAAAAAUUGUGCCCAAAGCCUUUUAAAAUAAUUUUAUAUUUGUAUCCUAGAGGGGAAAAAUAUUGCUAGUGUUUUUUGGAACACAACCUGGGAAACAGCCUACUCCAACCUCUUCAUUUUCAAGAUGAAGAAAUAAAUAAGAAACUACAAAGGUUUGACUUGUCCAAGAUCAUUCAAAUGGAUGACAAAACCAGAACUAAAUAAGUCUUCCAGAUCCCAGCCCACUGCUCUAUUUCAUUGGACCAUGUUUCCUCUCCUAUAUCUAUAUUCAUAAAGUUUAACAUUGUGAGCUUUUUGGAGUUUAAUCACACUUGGCUCAUAGUUGAGCUCAUGGUCAACUAUACUUCCUAUGGCUUUCUGGCCCCCCAGGAACUGUUAACCAGGUUUCUGCCCAUCCUGAAAGUUAAUGUAAUUGAAUAUCUAAACUUAAUUGUGAGACUUACAUUAAUCCUAUGAAAGGUCUUCAUAGUAUUAAUGUCAAGGUAAAUGUUAAUCUUAAACCUGUUGUCUAUUCUGUUAGCUACACCUUCCAGCUUUGAGUCAUUGAGAAAUUUGGUAAGCAAGCCUUGAGUGCCUUCAUCUAAAGCACUGAACAAGGCAAGGUCAAGGACAGUCUUAUGGCAUACUUCUUGAGAUCCUCCCUCCAGGAUGACAUCAACCCAGUAGAAACAACACUUGGUACGUGUGAUCUGAUCCCCUGAUGCCUUUUUUCCUGGCACCUCUUGGCAUAAAAAGGAUCCAUGGAUUAUUAGGCAGACUAAUGUUUUGUAUAAUCCCAAUAAUGUUGGUGCUACUAAGCAAAUAAGGAAUUGUUUAAGGCAUCUUUCCAGCUUUAUAUAGUCCUAUGUUUAACUGCCACACAGGUGCUGGGAGGGGAUAGAAAGAGUUGGAAGAAAAGAAACUUAGAGGAGGAGGGAUUUAAUGUUUUCAAGUAGCAAAGAGGAGGAGGAAGAGUGGGGGGACACACCAAGCUUUAAGGUUUCUUUAAAAUACAGAGAAAAAAUUAAUGAACUGAAAUUAUUACUCUUCAGUAAAUUAUUUUAAUAUUUUAAAGUGCAAAUAGUUCAUCCUGUUUUUGAAUAGAGCCUAUUAAUUUAUGUAUUUGAAGUUAAAGGCAUUUUCAGAGACAGAAAAAAGGGGUAGAAUAUUCAACAUUCUAUGUUCUAAUCGAUUUUAAAAGAACAAUCCCUUAGUUUUGGCAUGCCAUGGAAAAUCAAUUUUGCAGUGUCAAACUUCUGAAAAUCAUUUUAUAAAUAAUUUUAUAAAUAAAGUAAAACAAAGGCUUUUGGUGGUUCUAAUUUUAGGUUAGCUAUUUUGAGGUUAAGAUUUUUUUUAAGGAAAAAGAAAUCUAAUUAGAUUUAGAGUAAAAAAUUGUUGUUAAUACAUAUACACAUCUUUUAAAUUUAAAGAUUUUAACAGGAUUAAACUGAAUGAUAAUAUGGAAUAUAAUGUCAGCUUCAGGGCAUUUGCUGCCUGCCACAGAUGCAUGCUCAUUCAAAUCCCUUCUCUAAAGAAGUAAUGUAAUAAUUAUAGAUUUCCAUCAGUUUAAGAAAACACAACCUGAAUUUUACUUCGAGACAUUUUCUUUUGAACUUUAUAUAUUGUAAAAUAUUUGGUUGUUUGUAGGCAAUCUAUUUUGUUUUGAAAGAGAGCUACUAAAUAGAAAAUUGCAUUAGAAAAUUUUUAUAGGGUGAUUAGAUAAGAGAAAAUCUUCACACACACACACACAUACCUUGCUCCUGAUAUGAUACUGGGUGCCCCAAAAGUCUUAGUGUAGUUUUAAGAUUUAAAAACUUAAUGGCUUAAAACAGCCCUGACUUGGUCCUUGUGAAACCUAUUAAAUUUGUUUAAAGUUCUUUUUGUAGUAUCAAAAAAGAAUUAGGAUCAAAUUUUUCCAUUGUGGUUGUAAAGUUGUGGCUUCUGAAAGUUCUAUUUUGUAUUCAGGAAAAACAAAGAUCUCAUAUUGCCCCAUGUGUCCCAUCUGGUUUUAGAUACCAUGGAGGAAUUAUAUUUUUCAAUGAAUUAAACAUAUUCUUCAUAAUGUAGUCUUGAUUUUUUUUUUAACGGAUGCCUAGAAUUGUACUACAUUUGUCAUAAAGUAUUGGGUCCUGUGAAGAUCAUUUGCACCAUAGGUAAAUUUUAAGUACUGUUUUAAGAAUGAAUUAACUUUUCUGCCAUGAAGUUGCUUUGGUUUAAAAUGUUCAUUUUCUCUUAUCCCAAAAUAUAUGCAGAAAUGUUGAAGAUAAGUUGCUAUAACUCUGGUAGAUAAAAAGAGCAAUGUCAUUUGUGUUUAAUUUAAAAACAUUGGAUAGAUGACAACAAACUGUUUUUCUACAUAGAAAAAUAGGCGUAAAACCUAGAAUUAAAAAAAAAAAUAAA